rnacentral:rRNA from 1 species
UACGGGGGGGAGCAAGCGUUGUUCGGAUUUACUGGGCGUAAAGGGCGCGUAGGCGGUCGUGACAAGUCACUUGUGAAAUCUCCGGGCUUAACUCGGAACGGUCAAGUGAUACUGUCGGACUAGAGUACAGAAGGGGCAACUGGAAUUCUCGGUGUAGCGGUGAAAUGCGCAGAUAUCAGGAGGAACACCAGUGGCGAAGGCGGUGCUCUGGGCCGGAACUGACGCUGAGGAGCGAAAGCGUGGGGAGCAAACAGG